UACGUAGGGGCCGAGCGUUGUCCGGAGUUAUUGGGCGUAAAGCGCGCGCAGGCGGCCUCGCGCGCCCGACGUGAGAGCCCCCGGCUUAACCGGGGAGGGUCGUUGGGGACGGCGGGGCUUGAGGGCGGGAGAGGUCGGUGGAAUUCCCGGUGUUGUGGUGAAAUGCGUAGAGAUCGGGAGGAACACCUGUGGCGAAGGCGGCCGACUGGGCCGACCCUGACGCUGAGGCGCGAAGGCGUGGGGAGCGAACGGG
rnacentral:rRNA from 1 species